AAGAUUUUUCGGUCUGGGAUGGGCUCGCGGCCUAUCAGCUUGUUGGUGAGGUAAUGGCUCACCAAGGCGUCGACGGGUAGCCGGCCUGAGAGGGUGACCGGCCACACUGGGACUGAGACACGGCCCAGACUCCUACGGGAGGCAGCAGUGGGGAAUAUUGCACAAUGGGCGGAAGCCUGAUGCAGCAACGCCGCGUGAGGGAUGACGGCCUUCGGGUUGUAAACCUCUUUUAGCAGGGAAGAAGCGUGAGUGACGGUACCUGCAGAAAAAGCGCCGGCUAACUACGUGCCAGCAGCCGCGGUAAUACGUAGGGCGCAAGCGUUAUCCGGAAUUAUUGGGCGUAAAGAGCUCGUAGGCGGUUUGUCGCGUCUGCUGUGAAAUCCCGAGGCUCAACCUCGGGUCUGCAGUGGGUACGGGCAGACUAGAGUGCGGUAGGGGAGAUUGGAAUUCCUGGUGUAGCGGUGGAAUGCGCAGAUAUCAGGAGGAACACCGAUGGCGAAGGCAGAUCUCUGGGCCGUAACUGACGCUGAGGAGCGAAAGGGUGGGGAGCAAACAGGCUUAGAUACCCUGGUAGUCCACCCCGUAAACGUUGGGAACUAGUUGUGGGGACCAUUCCACGGUUUCCGUGACGCAGCUAACGCAUUAAGUUCCCCGCCUGGGGAGUACGGCCGCAAGGCUAAAACUCAAAGGAAUUGACGGGGACCCGCACAAGCGGCGGAGCAUGCGGAUUAAUUCGAUGCAACGCGAAGAACCUUACCAAGGCUUGACAUACACCAGAACACCGUAGAAAUACGGGACUCUUUGGACACUGGUGAACAGGUGGUGCAUGGUUGUCGUCAGCUCGUGUCGUGAGAUGUUGGGUUAAGUCCCGCAACGAGCGCAACCCUCGUUCUAUGUUGCCAGCACGUAAUGGUGGGAACUCAUGGGAUACUGCCGGGGUCAACUCGGAGGAAGGUGGGGAUGACGUCAAAUCAUCAUGCCCCUUAUGUCUUGGGCUUCACGCAUGCUACAAUGGCCGGUACAAAGGGCUGCAAUACCGUGAGGUGGAGCGAAUCCCAAAAAGCCGGUCCCAGUUCGGAUUGAGGUCUGCAACUCGACCUCAUGAAGUCGGAGUCGCUAGUAAUCGCAGAUCAGCAACGCUGCGGUGAAUACGUUCCCGGGUCUUGUACACACCG
rnacentral:rRNA from 1 species